CUGUUCAUCCACAAAAGUUUGCUUUAGGAGGCUGAGCUCAUAAGUAUGAACAGUUAGUUCCAAGCAUGGAUAUGAUGUGCACCUUCCCCACAUACAGUGCUCUUGAUGUGCUGAGCACAAAGAUCCACUUGCAACUUUCAGUGGUAUUCACCGGCAUUCCACUUUGUUUGUAGACGAGCUUCCCAUUCUCCACGAUGACUUCGUAUGCUUCCCUCUCUUUCUGCAGGGUGGUGAACACAGUACAAUGUAUGGUCAGAUACACCUUCGCAUCACUCCACCAGAUAAGGUCGGGCUGGAGUGAUCGAACAAGGAGAGCUUACCGGACCAAGAUAGCUGAUGCACUGCUUUUGAAGCUUGCUUCUUGGGCACCUCUCCAGAUUUACUUCUCUUCCGUCUCCGACGUCCAACCUUCACAUUCGACCAAAGGAAGGAACAGGUGAGCAUUUCUCACUGAAAGACUUGUGUCAAUUUCUGUGCUUACCAGUAGAAAAAUGGUUGUGUGCUUUCACUUCCAGACCAGACAUCAUAAUACAAAUGCAAGUUGUGCCCAUAGCGAUGCCGGGGAUCAAUCUGCACGGUGCCUGGUUGUGGAUUAGAUUACCAUAAAGCCAUCUCUCUGUGCUACCAAGGUAGAGGAUACUCACGGCUUCUAACCAAUGUUGCAGUGCUAGCUUCUGAGCCUUUUCAUCUUUGGAGAGGCCCUUACCGACCUGAGAAAAAUGGAUGCACACACAUAUCAUAUUGAUUGGAUAUACAUUGGAACAAUUAUAGAGCUUAUGCGUCAUGACAUAUCAAUCCGAUCGAUUACCCUGGCUGCUCUUCUUUUCGCUCUU
rnacentral:lncRNA from 1 species